rnacentral:rRNA from 1 species
UACGGAGGGUGCAAGCGUUAUCCGGAUUUACUGGGUUUAAAGGGUGCGUAGGUGGGUAGGAAAGUCAGUGGUGAAAUCUUCGGGCUUAACCCGGAAACUGCCAUUGAUACUAUUUAUCUUGAAUACUUUGGAGGUAAGCGGAAUAUGUCAUGUAGCGGUGAAAUGCUUAGAUAUGACAUAGAACACCAAUUGCGAAGGCAGCUUACCACACAGUUAUUGACACUGAGGCACGAAAGCGUGGGGAUCAAACAGG